CAGGUCAGGAGGAGUCAACCAAUGAAUUUAUAGUCCUGAGAUAACAUUCCAUAACUGCAGGUAGCAGUAAAUUACCAACCUUGUCUUUGUACCUGUUCAGACUGUACACACUGUAGCACAUUAGGAGGUGGUAUCCUGUUCAGAGUAUACACACUGCAGUACAUUAGGAGGUGGUAUCCUGUUCAGACUGUACACACUGCAGUACAUUAGGAGGUGGUAUCCUGUUCAGACUGUACACACUGCAGUACAUUAGGAGGUGGUAUCCUGUUCAGAGUAUACACACUGUAGUACAUUAGGAGGUGGUAUCCUGUUCAGACUGUACACUCUGCAGUACAUUAGGAGGUGGUAUCCUGUUCAGACUGUACACACUGCAGUACAUUAGGAGGUGGUAUCCUGUUCAGAUUAUACACACUGCAGUACAUUAGGUGGUGGUAUCCUGUUCAGAGUAUACACACUGCAGUACAUUAGGAGGUAGUAUCCUGUUCAGACUGUACACACUGUAGCACAUUAGGAGGAGGGAUCUUGUUCAGAAAUAAUUCAUAAAAAUAAAUGAUGCUUGGGUCAAGGCCAGGAACACAGGCU